CGAAAUCAUCUUCUUUAAUUUUUUUUGGAGACUGGAUUAAUUAUUGCCCAUUUAGAGUCAUGUCUUUCAAGCAGAAAUUUUGACAUUAUUCUUUCUGCCCCAAAUUUUCUCUGAGUUUCAUUAUAUACAACUUAUAAACCCAUUCAUAUGACAGUUUUAGAUAAAUUAUAUACAUGUAAUUAAAAUAUCAAUUUAGAUAUAAUUGUAUUAGGAUGAACUUCUGUGAAUUUUACCUUUCUCAGAAGCUUUAGAAAGUAGUUCUAGUAUCUUUAAAGACCAGGAAUUUGACUCUUGCACUACUAGACUUUUUGCCUCCAUAUUUUGCAUAUCACAUGUUCUUCCACAAGUUCCAACAUAUGAUAAUAGAGAGAGUUUGAAGAAUAAGUUUAUGAACCUCAGAUUUAGAUUGAAUACUCCACCACUCCAUCAGUGUAUUUCUUAGAGGAAUGUGUCUGUGAGUAAUGCCCAGGGAACCUGGAAAGAAUUUCCAGAUAUAAUUGGCAAAGUGCCCAGACACAAAGAUUUGAUCAAUGGAAUCAGUUCCAGAUCUGCUACAACAAGAACAAUCUGCAGGUUCUCUUCCAAAAGUAACAAUUCUCUCCUUCUUGCAAUUGCAAUUUGGUGUUAAGAAUAAAGGGAAUUAGCAGUGGUGGGACAUGUUGCCUUACCAAAGUUUCAUUCCAUUGCCCUUCUCUGAUAAAAUGUGACACAGUGAGCUGAUCUACUGUUGAUGAACUUAUUACAUGUUUGGGAUGCAGUGUUCUUAUUACAUAUGGUUCUGCUUUGUACAUGUUUGUGAUGCAUUUGUAUGUUUGCCUACUGUUUUCUCCCAUAUUUUAUCAUUCAUAUUUGGGUCUGCUUUGUACAUGUUUGGGAUCAUUUAACUAUUUGCCUACUAUUUUCUCCCAUAUUUAUUUUAUCAUUCAUAUUUUCCUACUGUGACAGUCUUAGAAUACCUGCCCUACUGUUUUCUCCCAGAUUUUAUAGUUUUUGUACAUGUUUAAGGAUCAUUUAACUGUGAAGGGUCUGGGAAGGGGAUGGGAAUUGAACAAUGACUAGUGAGCAUAUGAAAUACAUGAUUCUCUAACUUAUAGUUUAAUUUUGAAUGUGCAGGAAAAUGCUGCUGACUGAAUUUGAUGAAUAGAGGACAGAAGUAAACUCGAUCUAUUGUCGUGAGCGAUAAAGAGUUUUUGUACUAUUAUCAUAAAUGUUGUUUGAAUACAUUUGGUUUUGUGGAAUGUAUUGCUAGUAGAGAUCUUUAAGCAAUUGCUUUCUAUAUGUAUGGGACAUGUUCUCGAAGUUUAUUUAAUUUGAAAUAUAUACUUUCGAAUUAUUUAUAA
rnacentral:lncRNA from 1 species